GGAGUGAGCAAUGACAAUGCCCUGGGUGUGCAAAGGAGAAUAUUCUUAUAUGGAGCCUAUUCUGGAGUAAGAGUAACGGCUCAGCAUCCACGCUUUGGUGCGGCUGACGACCCACCCUUCCCUACCAAUACCCACACGCUGCUUCCCCUGCCACUCACCCAGCAGCCGAUUAUUUUUGGCUCAGGGGAUUUCCUGGGCCUGGCACAGCUUGUCUGCUUAGCAACCCUCAAAAGAACUCUUUUCCAAGGGCUCGUCCAGCCUCCCCUUGAACCCACAAAAGCUCCAAACCCUCAUCAUACUUUGGCAAGGAUCCCACAGGUCUCCUCCCCAAGGAGCAACAAACCAUCCCUCUUGUUAGAGCACAACCUGACUUCACCAAGCACUCAAUCCCCACCCGCCUUCUCUCACACAAUACCACAGGCUGCUAAUCACAUCCUCCAAAGUUCUAUCUUUCCUAGAGAAUUGUGGCUCACAGCCUUUUCUCCCCCCAUUUUUUAAGACAGGGCAGAGCAGCACAGCUGCAAUAGUCUCCUCUUUGUUGCAUGUAUGGGAGCAAAGGGAUCGUCUCCUGUGGCAUGAAGGAACAAGAGUGAGUUCCCUUCUUGCCUUUCCACUCCCAUGGGGACAUCGAUAAAAGCUGCUCUCACAGUUCAUUCAAACACAGAGCCCAGAGGAACAGCUCGAGCGACCCUGAACAGACAAAAUCAGAUAUUUCCAGAGUGUCUCCUUGAUUAGUAAGCCACUUAAUUUAUGUGAUCAAAUAUAACGAUCAUCCUUCUGCAUUCAUUUAGCCCUUGCAGAGCUUUUACAGGCACAUAUCCUUGUUUAGCAGCAGAGCUGGGAGUAUAAAGAAGGUACCACAGCAAAAUCAAAUCUGCUUUGGCAAAUCUGGGAGAAAGAGGCAGGAAAAAUGCAACAGAAAAGCAAGUGAGGGUGCGUGCUGGGGGGCCAAGCGGGCAGCUGGGAGGAGAUAAAGGGAAGCAAGCAGGCAGCUGCUGCUGAGCCCCCCUCCUCCUUCCCUUCCCUCUGGGGCACACUAUUAACACGGUGACACAAUGCUGUCCCGGCCGCACUGCUGGCAAGCAUGAAUAUGCAUCAGACAUUAUGCAGCAGAGUCUGGCGCAUGCUGCUGAUUUAUAGGACAGCUAAACAAACCCCCUCCCACCCAGCACACAGCCACCACGCUCUGCAGCGAUAACACUGCACUACAGAGCUGCGAGGUGGGUGCUGAGCAGAGAUCUCAGGCAGCUGUGCAUGCAGCCAUCUGACAGCCGAGGUGGAUGGGGCUGCAGGCAGGCAGAGCCCACCGGUGUUGUGCAUGCAGUCCCAAGCAACUAUCGCACAACAGCAUUUUGACAGAGAGACAAAGAGGUCUGAAGGUUAAGGCACGAGAUCUGUGUUUGGAUUAGGACAUCUCCCUGCUGGGAAGGGAGGAGUCUCCCUCUUUUGGCUGUGGAGUGAGGGAUAAAGAGACGCAGGGUCUCCAGCCAGCACUGGAACAGGUUGCCCAAGGAGGCUGUGGAUGCCUGGAGGCAUUCAAGGCCAGGCUGGAUGUGGCUUUGGGCAGCCUGGUCUGGUGAUUGGCAACCCUGCACAUUGCAGGUUGAAACUAGAUGAUCAUUGUGGUCCUUCUCAACCCAGGCCAUUCUAUGAUUCUCUGAUAUGCCUUGCAGGCAUCACAGCAUGGACAUGAUGGAACACACUCCUCCAUCUCCGGCAGGGUUUGGUCUUGCAGCUCUCCCAACCCCUGAGAACUCUCAGUGCAGCGGACCAAGGAAAUAACUCCAUUCUGCAGUGAGGAACCCACAGCAAUGAAGUGUUACUGUCACAUGGGAAGCUUUGGUUGAAGCUGUGCAUUUCUGUACCCCUAAGUUCUUGCUUUUGCCACAAGACGGUGCUUCCUGUCAAUGGCUGGGGUUGACCAUGCAGAGGACAGAAGUAGGAUCAUUCACAGUCUCCAGAAUGGCACCACAGGCAAAAGCAGGAGGUUUCCUUCCAGAAUCUCCUUGAAAGCCUGCAGCAACAGGCUCACAGCCAGAAUCCAAAGGCACAUGAAGGUUGGGAAGAAACCCCCAAAAAGUGAGACACCAAAACAACAAGAGAUGUGGCUCCACCUAACCCCAGUAAAGGCCACAAGUAGGUCCAGAGCUGGCAUCUCCAAUGCGCUGUCUGAGGCCAUCACACCCCAGAGACCCUGCAAGUCCCUACCUCUUGGACUCAGCUUUCUUGUUGCUCUACAUAGAGCAACCAAUCAGGAAGAAAAAGGCAACAGGUGGCUUUGAGGGAUGAGCACAAAAACAGCAGGAAAAGGUGACAUGCCUUGUGCCCACAGACUGAGCUGAGACACACAGCUGGAUGUUUCUGCCAGAACAGAACCAGCAGGCUUGGGGAGAGCAAUCUGCUGAACAAAAAGAUAGGUAAGUUGUCUGGCAAAAUUAGCACACAGCAUAACAUGCUUGGUACAAGCGUGAUGUUAUUCACAUUAGCAAAAUGAAGUAGGAAGCAAGAGGGCUAACGCACUGAUCUUAACUGGCACGGUCAGAUUUCGCAUGCACAAGGACCAGCAUGCUUUCUUUCACUGUAUUGUUAAUUAUCAGCAUAGGCAAUCAUACUUUAAAAAAACAAAAAAAAAAAAGGAAGAGAAGAGAAGAGAGAAGAGAAGGACUUUUGAACUUUGAACUGUAACACACUUCCCAUUAUAAACACGGUUAAAAAACUGCAUUCAGCCUGGCUCAGCUCCCAGCACAUGAAGUUCCUUAGGACAGUAUAAGCAAUGUCAAAAUGUGGAAGGUGUCACAGGAUUCUUAUGGAUCCCCAAAUGAUCUUUUUCUCUUUUUCUCUCUGCAGUGGAAACCAAAGCCAGCCCUGGAGCAAGAUCUCAUCCUGUUGGCUGUUUUCCAAACAAGAAAAAGGGUUCUUAUACCAAAGUUUCAACUUAUAUUUUGUCCUUCUUUAGCUCUGGUAUCCCUGCCAUCCAGUCAGCAGUCAAAUCCUCAUCUUUUGAGGCCAUGGUAAAAAGCAUCAUCUCUUCAGCGAAGCCACCUGAUCUUAUUGGUUUUAAUUUUCAACACUUGGUGCACUUAAGCCUCUCAGAAUCUCCAUACAGAAGCAAGGUAGACCCUCACAUCUCCUGGGAAAUGAAGGACUAGAAAGACACCUUCAUUCAGCCUGGAGGCAUAGGGAAAGCCAGCAGAGCCACCAGGAAGGAGCUGCAGAAAUGGUAACAUUCAAAGAAAUGAACCGCAUUUCAAUGCUAGACUUAAAACAAGUUUUGAAAUCUCCUAAUUACUCCAAACUCUACCUAAGCAUCCCCUUCUUUUCCUUAGCAUUCCCAAGGAUGUGCAGAGCCUUCCCGAGGAAUUUCUGCAAGAAGAGUGACAGAAAAAAGCCUGUAAGUGUUACAAGGGAGUCUCUAGGUUUGCCCACCCUAGUGGAGGUGAGGGAAUCUGUUAGGUAAUGCAUAGGCAACACAAAUGGAGGAAUUGCUGCAGUAACAAUCAUGCUGACUCCUAACAAUGUGGCUUUGGUUUAAAAUAUAAUUUUAAAAAUAAUUGUAAAUAAACAAAUAAAAUGACCUUCCCUUCAGUCCAGUGGGAAAAAUCCAAGCAGCUCCCCUCAAUCCCCCACAAGAUAAUAAUGCUUCAUCACUGUAAGUAAAAUCUACCACAUUGGAUAUAUGCUAUUCAAGUAUGGGUUGGGAAGACCUGUUAUAUGACCUAAAUCGCUCUGCAAGCAACCAAUGGGAGCAUCUAAUACUGUUACCCUUUCCUAUCAGUCCCCAUCAGUCUGCAAACCAGCCCUGAUCUUUCACUGCACUGCUUACCAUUGUGUUCAGUACCUGCCCUCACAAACACCAGUGAAGAUGCAGGGGCUGAAGCUUCACCCUGCUUUCUGGAAGGGGUUUUGAAAGCUCAUGGCAACAGAAACUCCUAUGAGUACCUUGGGCUGCAGCCCAUGGCAGCACCAACAAGCUGGUGCUGUGUGUGGCCUGAGUUUCCUCUCCAAAUAUCCUCACCACUGCCCUCAAAAAGUUGUCCAUGGUGCCUUUGCUGACCUUCCAAGACCAUGAGGGCACUUCUAGAGUUAACAGCAAACAACAGGGAGAACUGGGUUGUUCUCCCUCAGGUAAGAAAAAGAAAACAAGAAAAUGAGCUGAUGUGAACUGGUGCUGCUGAAAACACAACCCGGACUCAUCCGAUGAGGCAUGCUUCCUUGCUCCUGUCACGACACGAUCCAUCUUGUGAGCCUCACGUUGGGCUCAGAAAUUACUCAUCAGAUAUGGAAAUGAGCCCUCUGAGGAGCCAGUCAGUGAGAACAGUCACAAAGUCUUUGCUUUUGAACAAACAGAGUUUGGGUUUGGGGACGUGCUUUGCUCGUUUUAAAGUGAAUGGAGAACAACCAAACUAUCUCCAGCUGGGGGCUAUACUUUACGGAUCCACUUCUCUUGAAAUGUUUGUUAGAAGGACACAGUGCUCCUUCCUUGGAAAAUAAGAAUAACUUCAGAGAUUCGGACUGAACUGUGAUUCCUUAUGGUCUUGCCAGUAUCAUUAGGGGAGACACGAGUCACCAGCAAGGUCAGGGAAGCAAUGAUGUCCUGAUGAAGACUCCCUGCUUCAUCUGGCAGCAGCAGACUUCACCAGUAGGACUCCUCAGGGCUCUUGAAAGAAAGUACAGCAGUUUGUCGUGCAUAGACAUUAUUCACACCUAACUGGAAUUAAACUGCUUCUUAUUUCCCCUUUAAAUCCUCUCAUAUUUUCAGAAAGCACCUCCCCUGAGGACCAAGUCUGUCCAUACAAAGAACCUUCAAAGCCAUGGUGUGGUAUAGGGAGUACAGUUUCUACAUAGCUCUCAUUGUUCCCACACAGGAACUUCAACUGAAACAUUAAAAAAAAAAAAAAAAAGAAUUGCAUGUUUGCUAAAAGCUUUUUUUAAAUAGAAGAAGCCCACAGAAAGCCACCAGCUUGCAUGUCAAACAAGCUAACUUUAACUUGAAAUGCUACUUGAGCAAAAAUAGAUGCUGCACUGUUCUGCAGAGUGAAUAUAUUAAUGGAAGAGGAAAAUUCAUCCUGUAACAGCAGGGAAAGCAUUGAGCUCUGAAAGCUGGAGCUUGUCAACUGACCCUCAGAAUCUAUCCUCAAAAAUUUGGGCUAAACAUUGUUCUGCUCUGACUCAACACCCUCUGUCAGGGGCUGAUUAGGAUCUAGACCCUGGACUCAAUAAACCCCCAUCAAUCGACUAUCUUUUGUAAAAUCAUAAAAUCAUAGAGGCUCAAAAUGACCUCCAAGAUCACCAAGUCCAAUCCUCAACCCACCCCCAACAUGCCCACUGACCACGUCCCUCAGUGCCACAUCUCCAUGGUUCUCAAACACCUCUGGGGAUGGUGACCCUACCACCUCCCUGUGCCAACACAUCAUCACUCUUUCUGGGAAGAAAAUUUCACUAAUAUCCAACCUGAACCUCCCCUGGAGCAUCCUCAGGCUGUUACCUCUUACCCUAUUACUGGUUACCUGGGAAAAGAGGCCAUGGAUGCACCUCUCCUGUCCCACCUCUGAUAAGACUCACGUGCCAAGCCAGAGCUGGUUGGCUGGACCUGGGCUCUUGGUGCCCUAGGACAGGGUGAGAAUAUCUUGGGACACCACCAUCCAUCCAUAAGGUAGAUGCCUAUUUACAGCCCGCAGAAGGAUGAAGUUCUGCUGGCCUGUCACAAGUCAUACUCUGUUCACCUUCAGUAUCACACAAUACUUGAAGAAAAGCAACCAGCACAAGCUCAGUAUAUUCCAGAAAAAAACAGCAGACCUCAGGCUACAUGGAGAUUACUCAUGGUUUUGCUGCUGUACCUAAAACAAAGUGUGCCAUACAAGAAAGCUGUCCAGGUAUAGACAUCUUCUGGCUCUGCACCUGUACUAAUGUGGUGAGAAUUACCCUUUUCUCCCAUGAGCUCAGGACAGAAUUCGCACAAAUACCCCAAACCAAGGGCCAUGUUAGCGUCACACACAGCUGUAACAAGAGGUCUGUGUGUAUUCUUAUCACAACGUCUUAGCUGAACGAGGCAAGGAAACAACACUGCAGGUCCUUAUUGGCAAAGCACCAGGUUCCGAUUCCCUCAACGACAUCCCGCUGUGACGGUCCAAAAAGCGAGGUGGCUCCAUGCUGCUGCUGAGCGCCGGAAGGAAUGCCGACGUGCUGGCACUGCCAGGCCCAAUGGGCACAGGCUUGCACCAGGCUGAGCUCACUGGUGCACAUCCCCAGUGCCACGACCUGUCUGCUCCCUGCCCGCAGCCACCGGCACGCAGCACUCCUGGCAGCUCUCUGAAGCCGCAUUUGCAGCGACAUGUUGCUUCUGAAGGAAAACCACAACGUGCUCGUUUCAAAGCAACCAGCUGAUGAGGAACAACAACAGGGAGAGGGGAAAAAAAAACACCUGGCACCACUCCUCCUUCUCUCUCUCAUGAGAAGCUUAUAGUAAUUGCAAAGCAUGAGAAUCUGAGCAAAUGCUCUACUUGGGCAACUGGGGCCAUCCCUGCGAAAAUAUGUGCAUCUAGGGGCUGUGAGCAUUGUGCAACCAGCACGGUACUGAGCCAGAUAAGGCAAAGACCUCUCACUGGGCUCCACAGAGAUACACUUGUAACUCCACAAAGCUGACUUUGGCUGAGACAAGUUGCUUUAAUUUUCACUCCCUCCCUCCAGCCUUCGCAGGGGAAAUAAUAGCAGCCUACUGCUUAUGCAGUUUGAAGCCACCAGACAGUAUUUGCAGAGCUGAAUCAGAAACCAAAGUAGCCUUUGGUAGAGCAUGGGAGGGAAUAUGGCUUCUCUGCGCUGGGAGCCUUCCUCUCUUGUUGCCACACUAAAGGCUUUAAAACUUUGAGAACAUUCUUUUUUGCAACCAAGUUAGCUCUGCUCUGAACACCAACGUGCAACAACUUAUUUCAUAGAACUACAGAAUCAUAGAAUGGCCUGGGUUGAAAAGGACCAUAAUGAUCAUCUAGUUUCAACCCCCCUGCUAUGUGCAGAGGCCUUCUGAGGAUUACCUGCCUAGAUUUAGGUAAUGCACAUGUUACUUGGGAACUAUACAAGAGAAAUUAGUUAGGAAGGUCAUACCGUUGGGAAAGACUUACAGAUCCUGGUUUCUCCCAUCAGCUUUCCAAUGACAGCACAUAUGCCUAUUGGCUGAGAGAGCCAAGGGAUGCUGCUACACAUCACCUAGAGACCUACAAAUCUGCUUCAGACAAGGCAGUAAGUGUGCUGCCAGUGGCAAAAAAUAACAAACAGAGAGCACGGUUCUGUAGCAGUACAUCCUGCAGCAGAGAGGCUGCAGAUGCAACUAGCACAGAAAUGCUCCCAGGAUAGAACCCAGGUUUUGCUCUCAGCAAUGACUGCACAGCAGCACUCUGCAGGCAAUCCCAACAGGCUGUGCAGCAAGCUGCUAGCUCCAGGCUCUCCUUUUGGAAACCAAAACCCAGAGGUAAUAUCUCUUCGAGCCCUCGCUGUUAUUUCCCCCAUGUGGCAAAACCAAGAAGCAUCUACUGUAGAUGAGCAAGGAAAAGGGGCAGGCACAUGCCGCUCAGUGUUACAGAUGAUGCACCUGCUGACCUGCAGGAUCUGCAAACAGCAGGCAGAAAGCCCAUGUGCAGCAACUGCAGGGAAGCAGCAAAUGCUGGAUACUGUGCCAGAUGCCUCUCUGCCAGGACACUCCUCAAACACGGCCACUAUUUAUUGUACCAAAGUUCAAGAGGAGACGGAUAGCAGUAAAAAUACAGGAGCUAAACACACACUGUGGGUCUCAACUACGAGGCUCUGAUGCACCUUCCUUCCUGAACCAAAGCCUUCGGAAGGUUUUCACACAACCUCCCUCUUGGCUAUGCAACCACCUCUGCCCCCUAAAAGCCAGGGCUGUAGAGCAGAAGAGCUUGUCCUGCACACGUGUAGCUGGGUAGGGCAGGGAGAAGUCAGGUGCCUUGCAAAGACAGAAUAUACCAUAUAACAGAAUGUAAGGCACUCUGCUUUUCUCUGCAGCAUGCAAUGUGUGCUUUCAAGAUGGGGUCAGCCAAAAAUCUUUCCCCUAACAAAUUUUCUGUGAUUGCAAAGGCACGGCAAUCCUUUUGACAUUUCUAGCUCUUACUGGGCUCGUUAUGGCUGUGACAUUUGGUUUUUUACUGCACAGGUUACACUUACUGUAGAGCAAUGCUUUUCUAUCCAUAUCAGUUGCCAAGUCCUAGAAGAACUCCUGUGCAGAUUCCUCAACAGUACAUUUUAACUGCCUGACAACAGUUCUCAUUAUUACUGUAUGGCUCUUGCAGGCUCUUCAGAAGUCAGCCAGGGCUCUUCACACACUGGUUGAGAACCACAGUCAAAGGGUUUGAAGCAACUAUGAUGCACACAGUAUGCUUCCUGAGGCUCUCUGGAACUGAAUGCUGACUUCUGGGUGCCUGAACCUGCUGGAAUUAGUGUUUCAGUCAUCAAAAAGGUAGGGUACAAAACAAUGGUUUUCUAAGAGUUUGUAGGAUUUGAUGCUAAGCACACAGGCAUGAUACAGGGUAAGGAGCCUGGCACAGCAUCCUGCCCCGCUGUGCACACACAGCAGGCUCCAGGCUCGCUGCAGAGGGACUCAGGAUGAGCUCUGCAGGCUGAGCUCUGCAGGCUCUCGCUGCAGACAGGUUCUCACUCCUAAAACACCCGAUGCAUCAUGUUUCUGCCACUGGCUAAUUCUUCCAUAGGAGAAGGCAUGAUGGAACAAGUGCUCCAAUCAAAGAGGAAACUCAGCCAGUCAAGAAAAUCCUCCCCAGGCGACCAGGCUUUAUUUCUCCCAGUUGGCUCAGCCUCAUUUCUCAGUUCUUUUAUGAACAGCUCUCAGUCACCUCCAGCUGCUCCCAGCAGUCUACAUGGAAAACAAAACUACAGAAACUGGCUCCACCUUCCUCGCAUCCCCAUCACCAUUAGGGUACCUAACAGUACUCCAGUGUUAGGAGGUGUUGGUUUCACCCACUAAACCCUGGAGCACCCACAUCUGUGUGUAACUGCACCCUGUGGUUGCUGUCUGAACGAUGUCCUUCCAGCUCUUGGCCAACAAGAAACUGGUUGAAUCAGGUUGGAUAUCAGGAAAAAUCUCUUCUCAGGAAGAGCGUUGAGGCAGAGGCACAGGCUGCCCAGGGAGGUGGUGGAGUCACUGUCCCCGGAGGUGUUCAAGAACUGUGGAGAUGUGGCACUGAGGAACAUGGUCAGUGAGCAUGGUGGGGAUGGACUUGGUGAUGUUAGUGGUCUUUCCAAUCUUAAUGAUCCUAUGAAAUGAAAUGUAGCCUCUUGAGCAAAGAGGAGGGAUAGGUUUACCAGAUAAGACAACUCGCAGCAAAGACAAGGACAGACUACAUUCAGCAGCUGUGCUCUCUCUUUGUGCUACUGCAACCAGCCUCAUGCAGCCAGUGGGAUUCACCUCACCUACAAGAGAGACACCUACGUGAGAGCCCAUCAUCUGGAGCCUCUUUGCAAUCAAUGAGAAGAGACAGGUGCAAUCUGUCUGGCUGGUUUCAGACAUCUGCAUUAGGACGAGAUGAAAGCUCUCAUUUCCCCUGCUGGGUACAUAUGGAGGCGAAGGGGAAGCAGCGGAGAUGUUAGGCGUCAACAUCUAAAGAGAUGAACUGCACCCUGAUGUUUCUUACUAUGCACUUUGCUCAAGCACUUUUCAGAGAGGGAUCAUCUCGUGUUUCACGCUGCACCCAACAUGAAAGCACUCCCAGUCUCCAGGGCCAAAAGGUAAUACCACACUUCAGAUGGUAAAAAAGGGGCUGAUACUCUGAAAUACCUACCGCCGAGAGAACUCCGCAGUAUUUUCCCUGGAACAAUAUUCCAAAUGGAUCCAAGUCAUUUCGGGGCCGCUAGCCCAGUGCAGGUCCCAACUCGCCUCUACGUCAGCAAAAAAGGAGUGGGAAUAGUCUUAGGGGCCAAGCACUCUGUGCAGUGAGAACUGCAGGGCCCUGCAGGUUUGGCUUUACUGCUGGGAGGGGCAGAGAGGGAUGCACACGCACAGCAGGGUUGGGGGAUGGCUGCAGAAACGUGCAAUCUGCACACACCAGGAAGAGACUUGGGAUUUUCAGACCCAUCUCUUUUUCGUGACUUCUGAGAUAUAUGAUCCUUUGGGGCUGGCAGCACUGGAGCUCAAUACAGACGAACGCAAAAUAAUGAGUCUGGGGGCAGGAAGCCAAAUCAGAGAGCACACAUUAAGUGGAGCUGUCGUACUGCUAGGCUGGCCAGAUGGAGGAGGUAUCAUAAGAUCUGCAAAGCCAUCAGCCCCAGUGCUACAGAAAAUAAGAAAACUAAGCUCAAACAGGAACUGCAGGCAGAAUUACGUCCCUGACAACAGGAUGAAUGAGGAAUAAGUUGCUGCAUAAAGCCCUCAAAUCAAAUAGACAAAAAAGCAUAGAAGGAGCUACAUGACAUUUACCUACCGAAAGGUUCAAAGGAUGAAGAGAAGUUUGAAUUAGCUCUCUGAAAGGAUGACUUCCUGGUGGCAGAGCUUUUUCUUCUGCAUCCAUCCCAGUGUACGAUCACUGCUGGGUUUGUGGGCUCCUACCUUAGAUUUUAACCAUUAUUCCCCCUGUGUCUGAAUCCCAAUAGGCACCCGCAGAGCCAGCCAAGCUGAGAAGGAGCAACCAGUGGUCCUCCAGCUGCAUGUACCAGCUGCCAGGCACAACCCAUGUCCACAGCAGGAGCUGUGGGACUAUUCUGAUUUGUUGGUUGGGUUAUUUUUUCCUCCUUCUUUUUCCCCUCCUCAGGAAUAUAAACUGAAGGUGCACUAAACUGCAAAUUGAAUAAACUUGUUCUAGGUGCAGACUUUGGAAUAAAGGAGAGGUAAACCUGAAGUGUCUUAAGAGAUGCUGUCCUGAUUGCCAGCCCAUGCUCACUGCAGUCAACAUCAUUUUUCAACUGACUUCAGCAGAAUUUGAACGAGACCUUGUAACCUUGUUGCAAUGCAAUCACAAGCCCUGCCAAAAAACACGUGUUUAUUAGCAUGCUCUGAAAAAACCCAACCCUCUGUUCAGCUUUUGCUCUCUUCACAAGGAGCACACUCUUCCGACAGCGCUGGUUUUGAGGCCCCUAAACAGGACUACAGAAGCAACUCUAUACUUCUUUAUUUAAAACUGUGUAACUUCCCCCCUAAAAUUCAUGCUGGAUUUCGUUUGUCUUACAGAUGCCUUGUUUUUUCUUAAAAAAUGUAGGGACUGCAGGUAGAGAAUUUGCACAAAUGUGCUGGCAGCUGUAAUUCUCAGUCAACUGUCCUGCACCUCUGCUAGUCCCCAACCAGGGACUGGGUGCAGGCACUCCCACGGUCUUUAGACCCUGCAGACCUCACCCACAGUGCCACUAUUUAUUGCUGAAAUCAACAACUGUUAAUUCCUACAAAGCAUAAGAUGAACCAAUUGGCUUUCACAUGGAUCUACACUACAGGAGAUUGGGACCUGAAGGGUUUCCCAAUGGCAGCAGCAACGUGUGUAUUUAAAGCACUGGCUCAUGUCACACACCGCAGAACCACCAAGCUGGCUUUCUGAAAUCCCAUCUCCACACCUGCCCUCUGCCAACAAGGAGCUCACUGCACUGCUGGCUCUGCAGGCAGGGACCUGCUGCAUGUAUCUUCUCAGCAGCCCUUGGAGCACAGAGCAGUCUCCGUCCCUUUCCUCAUCUCCACAGGCAGGAGCCAUUCUUCAUUUUCCAUCUGCAAGCACACCAAAAGACUCAUCCUUUAUGUACGCAUUCAGCAACAUAAGUUUCAAAAAAAGACAGUCUGACCGUGGCGUGUUGUGACUCCACCUUUCCUUCUGACUCCACUUGAUCUCUAGAGCCAGUCACCACCAGCGUGAUGCAGAGCCAAGGUUACAGCCCCAUUGUAGAGCCAAAGGAACAAGAAGAUAAACCAGAACUCCAGGAGUUACAUUUCUAUGUAGGCAUCUUUCCUCUGCAGCCUCCUGUUACUCACCUCCCAUUCUGAACAGCUUUAUCAUCUGCUCUCCUAUGGUUUCUCUGAACUACCCCGGAGGUGACCAUAUUUCAGUGGCAAAUUAAACUGUCACAACACAUUCCUCUCCACAGUGGUGUGUGGUGUUUUUUUGUGUUUGUUUUUCUUUUUUUUUUUAAAUAUGUGAGCCCCAGCUGCCAGAGAAUUGUUUUGGAUAGAUUAGAUUAGGUGCCUGGGAAACCAGUUGAAAAAAAGUAAAGAUUUUGCUUCUUGAAGAAAUCUACCUGCUCCCUCCCAAGAAGUUUUUUAUCCAAGAAUACUUAGUCAAGUCACUGAACUUUUAGAUUGACUGUUCUUUCCAUGAGAAAUGCCUCUGAGCAGCUGACAAAGAGAGAUGGCUCAUAUUAGAAUUACCUGCUACGAGCAUGUAGCAAGAUUCAAAAGCUCUGUUGUUUGUUUCUUUUAAUAGAGCCCUCCUCCCUUCCCCAUCCAGAGGGCUACAUCGUUUCUUGUCAGUUGCUCCAGUUCUCUUACUAUUUUUCCAAUCCACAACAGACCAAGAAGCUCCGUUUUACUACAUCAAUCAUAUUGAUUGUUGUAUCAAUUGGGUAUUGGGUAUCAAUUCAUUCCUGAAGAUACGAUGCAAACACAAAAGAUUUGCACGGAAAGGACAUUCACAUCUAUCUGAAGACCACACAACUGGCUGCUCAGCCAGUGGGCUGGUGAGGGCCUGCACAUUCCUCUAUGACCAUCAGCCACACCACUCCAUGGCCUCCUUGCUCCUGUGGGAAGGCAGCAGCAUUUCUCCUGACCUGGGUCUCAUUCUCUCAAGCCUUUCUUUAGAUGUGUUCAGGAUGGUCACACGGGUGUUUCUUUCAAGCACGGAUCUUUUGAGAAUCACAGAAUAUCCUUGGUUGGAAGGGACCCACAAGGAUCGUAGAAUCGUUUGAGCUGGAAGGGACCCAUAAAGACCAUCUGGUCCAGCUCCCCCGCAGUGAACAGGGAAACCUACAUUAGAUCAAGAGCUCAGAGCCCCAUCCUGGCCGACCUGAUCAUCAACUCCAACUCCUGCUCCACAGAGGACCACCCUCAGAGGCUCAAGUACCAGCCCCAUCCACCACAUCCCCCCCAGCAGCAGGAGGAGGUAGAAAGCAAAGCAGGGACUUGUGCGUGCUUCCUUGUCCAUCAGCAGGCAGACUGGCUGCCAGAUGGAGGUCACAGCACAUGGCAGUACAGCGAUAUCCUCCCCCUGCAUAGCCCCUCAGGCAGCUAUUCCACAUCAGGGCAGCUAUGAUAUCAUACACGGAUACAAGGAGAGACAACAGGAAAGUCAGCUACAGAAUUAGCACACACAGAUGCUGGACUCCGUCCCAUUAACCUUCAAGCAACAGUGAUGUUUCAUCUACUAUCAUAUUGAAAAGGUUGGCUUCUCAAGCCCACUCUUCUACAGGAUGAACUCUAGUACCUCAAGUACUAGUGCAGUGGAAAUGCUAAGUCACAGCCUGAAGCAGUGAUUAAGCACCUGGUGGGAAGGCAGGGCCAACCCAGUGGAGCUCAGGUGUAUGCAAUGUACCUGAGUGAUCAGAAGGGGUAGAGCCAGGAUCCACCCCUUCCCAGACCUCAUUUAAAGGUUGGCAGUGAAGGUGAGGGGUAUCUUCCUGGAGAUCCCUGUGUACCUGAAGCCUUCUGAAGACUGUGAAUGGAGCUGUACACAAACCACAGAAUUGCUGAAGAUGAUGCAAAGCAUCAAAACAGCAUCAGCACUGGAGCAAGCCCUGUCUGCUUAUGUGAUGGCAGUCUGCUGAGCCAACAGACCGCUGAUGAAAUGAACUCACUUCUUAACAAGCCUCCAAGCAAGACCUCUACUUGCUUUGGACAAAAGUGCUUGCAAUGAGAUGACUUUCCUUCAGAGACUGUUCACCAGAGCCUGGCUUUCUCAAGGGAAGUGUUGGCUUUGAUUUAGGCCAGGCUGGCAGAACAGCAUGCAUCCCAUCCAUCCCGUGCUGCAUCAGCAAUGCCUUCUCUCACAGAUCUCUUCUUUCACUCCUCGCUUCUCUUCCUGCAGAAUGGGAGCAGAGCACAACCCCCUGGUUGUAGCUCCUCCCAGUGUCUGCUGAUCUCUAAGGAUGCUAAAUAAUAAGAUGUGGAGGCCUCUUCCCAGAGAACUCUAGAUGCAGCUAUGUCCCUUCUCUGCAUUUGUCAUGUUACUGCUCCUACACACAUCUAAAUUCAGCUCCAUCAGCUCUCAAAUUUAACUUCAAUGUGAGCAGCUUGAUUUGGCUUUAGCAAUGCAAGAAGAAAAUUCCACUUACAGUUCUGCCCAGUGCUAUGUAUUGCAUUGCCAGAGCACUGUCACCCAGCAGGCUCUCCCCUUAUAGCAGCUGUACUGCAUCAAUCCACCCAGCAGAAGGGUCAGCAUUGCUCCCAGUAAAGAAGAGUUUUAGUGAGCUGAAGCAACCGUCCAGCCAACAGCAGAGAUGGAGUCAGAUUCCUGGGUCCCACAAAGUCAUCUGUCAGCAUCAGACUUGGAGAGCUGGAUAAGCUGUUCAAAGAACCCCACUUUGACCUUGGAUGCCCAGGUGGGUUGUAUAUUAAUGCAGGUACACCUCAGCCAGCAUGGAAAUACCAGGAUCUCUAGCUGCACACGCUGCAGAAUUGUAUUCUGGCAGCAUGAAGUUGAUAACUGAUUUUUAAAUUAUUUUUUACUGAGCUAGUUGUUGAAUAGUGCUGGUUCCAUGUUAAGGAGAGACCAACAAGCAGGUGGCAAUACAGAACAGAUCAUCUAGAGGCAUUUUCCCUCAGAUAUCUGUAACUAUAAACCAACUAUUAUCAGCUUUGCCCUAUUGCCAGUAAAUAAUUAACUGCAAAAGCAUACUCCUCUCAGCCCCAUCCUCUCCAAUCAAUCUGGCUUCAGGACUACAUGCUGCCAGGACUGCUCACUACAGCAGUGCACUCAAAGCAUUUCACAUGACAGAGGAAUGGUGUGACUUCAUUAUUUCAGUGGAGACCUUUCUUUCCCAGUACAAGGGGGUGUCAUCAUGUAACUCCUGUACUUACAGCAGAAAAGUACAGCAUAUUUCACUUAGAAGGUGUAUAAGUUGCGUGAAGAUGUAAAAACAGGUCUGCCAUCUGAUCCUGGUCAUUCUUUUAGAAUAUAAAGACAGUAGAUAAUUCAGUCAAAAUCACAUUAAAAAGGCACAGGGAGAGCACAAGCAAAAAUAAGUGCUGGAAAAACACUCCAGAAUUGUGGAAACACCCUUCUCACAACAGCCAGAAUGCCAGGGAGAGGCAGAGCAGCUCUGCCACUGAGCAAACGUCUUCAUACAGUCGCUGGGUUUAGUUCAGCUGGCGACAAAGAGUUCAGUCAAAAUCUCCACCAAGGUGGAGUAAAAGGGGAAAAUGGCUACAUCAGACUCAAAAAGAGAGGCUUAAAAAAUGAGGCAGAUGAACGAAUGUAAGAAAAACCGUGAUAUACUGAGAGAUAACAGUAUAGGAAGGAAAAAAAUAAGUGAAACAGACACUGAGAACAGCUCAGGAAAAGAGAAACCAUGAAAAAUUAGAAUAAAAAGUAGAAAGACAGUGAGAGAAAAGAGGAAUGGGACUGGACAGAGCAGCUGACCAGCACUUAGCAAAUGUCAUUUGUUUAAUCUCAUAUUUGUCAAAUAAUUUACUUGCUUAAUAUUUCUUUUUGGCUUCUAAUGAGCCGUAAAGCUGAUGAAAUAUCAUUUUGUACAAUUAAAAGCAUUGAAUACAUUCGGCUCUUACUGAUAUUAAUCUAAUAAUACAUCUAUCUGCUGGCUCUGAGUUUACACUUGGAAAAAAAAAAAGUUAAAAACAAAGCUGGUAAUAAAUUACAAUUAAGUACAAGUGCUUGGGGUGCAACUGGGCUGCCCAAAGCAGAGCAGCACAACACACCUUGAAAGAUGGCAAGCAGGGGCUUGGCUAGCAUUCCUGCCCAUUCCCUUCUUCAUCAGGAACUCUACGCAGGGCAGCCUUUGCCUCAGUUUUUACUGUGGUGAUUUUUUUUCCCGUGUAUUCAACUUCAGAAGGCUCUUUUCACUCAGAAGUGUGAAGUUUUGGAUCCCGAUGACAAAUGCUGUGGACAGCCCAACCUGGAUGAGUGGGAAGGCUAGAGGACAUCCAUACUGUUGGGCUGUCAUCUUGGGAAUUAGAUGUUUGGAAGCUGCACUUCACCUCCCCAAAAGGUUGGGGAAGUUUGGUGGAAGACAGCGAUGUGGCAAACGGUGCUUUAGUACUGCUGCUCUCCCAAGGAAUGCUUCCUGAGUGCCAGCAGCCCGCUUUUCACCGCUUCUCAGGAGAGCCAAGAAAAGAAAUCAAGCUGCAGUUGUCAGCCUGCUUCUUCCUCUCUGGUUCAACAGCAUUGUAAGAGUUCCCUCGUGAUGGUUUGUGCACAGAACCUCCUUCAGAGCUUCACAGCAUCCCCUUUCAAGCGACUCACAGAGCCCACAAAAGAGCCUCCCUUAGGCCUUUGGUCUUGUUUCAACAUCAUGGCAUGAGUGUGACCCCAAAUGGAGGUCAUUAGAGCUAAUUACUAAAUCACUUAGCACAAACACAGAAGGUAUGACCACACCAAUGUUCACGUGGAGAUCCGGAGGCUCUGCUGACAGCACCCACCUGGCACAGCCCAGCAAUGAUAGCCGCCAGCCUGCAGGCCCACCAGCAGGCUGAACUGGGAAUUCCCUCAGCUCUGUUUCAGCCUGCUGCUGAAACAACACAGUUUGCGUUGUUAAUCAGACCAGGACUGCACCGGAGGAGUGGGCUGCAAUGCCUGGCUGCAUGAAGGGGGGACAGAUGGCUUCACAGCCGCAGCUCUGUUACAAGCACUGCGAAAACCAUGCAAGCUUUCAUUCUCCAGCUGCAAAACCAGAGCACUUUAGGAUAAAUAUACCAGCAAUUCUAACCAAAGCAGCACCCUUAUCCCUGAUGGUCCGGGUAGCAGGAGGAAGAGCAGCCUCAGCACGGCCCUGUGCUGGCACAAGCAGUCAGGGUGAGCGCAUCCCUCCCUGCUCUCCUGCACAGUGCCAGUGUCCGAGGCGCAGUUCUGUGCAUGCUUGUGUCAGGCUCUGCAGAAGAGCGCAGCCUAUGGGAGCUCGUGCCUAUCGGGCACUGCCGGGAGUAACUGCACGGAGCGACGGAGACAACUUCAGGUACGGAACGGCACAGCUCUUCCCAACGCUCCAGCCUCCAUCCGCCCUUCUCCAGGCACCCCGGAGCUCGCAGCCCCCCUCGAUUCCUCACCGGCUCUUUUGUCUACGGCCGACCGAAGCCCAUCCCGCGCGGAUGCGGGCGGGCCGAGCCUCCCUCCCGUCCCGCAGAGCCUCCUUCCCACCGGGCCGCCCGCGGGCUCCUCCCCGCGCGGGUGCAGCCGCGCCGCAGCGUCCCUCGGAGGAAGGCAAGCGA